GGAGAAGGUUGCACUAGCUGUUCCCGGCCUGUCACGCCGGAGGCCGAGGGUUCGAGUCCCUUCCGCUCCGCCA
rnacentral:tRNA from 1 species